GUUUUUAUAUAUUUUUCUCUCAGGUAGGAGGAAGGCUCAAUAUAAGAUUGACUGGAAGAAAGCAGCAUUAUACCCUGAUUGGAGGAAAGAAGAGUUCCAGGCUGGUGAGUCUAUGAUGAUGUAGCAGGGAUCCUGUUCUUUGUGUGUAGUCCCGCACAAAGAUGGAUAGAGGUUAGCAGAAUCCACCUAGGGCCAGAGAAGCUCUCACAGACUACAGUUUCUCUGGUCCAGGAAUAUUGAGAUUUUCCUUAGUUAGAUCAUGAUGAUUCUCUUGUCAUUGCAGUAAACGUGACCCUGGAUGCAGACACUGCCCAUCCUGCCCUCUUCCUGUCUGAACAGAGACGUGUAACCUGGCAAGAAGUGUGGCAAGAUCUCCCUGACUCCCCACAGAGAUUCGAUUCCCUUCCCUGUGUGCUGGGUCAGCUGAGUAUCACCUCUGGGAGAUACUACUGGGAGGUAGAUAUUGGGGACACAGUUUCUUAUGAUCUGGGAAUUUGUAAGGACAAUGUAACUAGGAAGGGGCAAGUCACAAUAUCCCCACAAAAUGGUUUCUGGGCCAUCAGGCUUUAUGAGGGGGAGUACUGGGCUCUCACUUCCCCAGAAACUCAUCUUACUCUGAGACAGAACCCCCGUAGGGUGGGGAUAUUCCUGGAUUAUGAAGAUGGAGAUGUGUCAUUCUAUAACAUGACAGACGAAUUUCAUAUUAUCAGCUUUACUCAGGAGAAAUUCCAAGGUGUGUUAAGACCUUUCUUCAGGCUUUGGAAGUCUGACUCAGGUACCUUGACCAUUGUCCACUGAAGGAGAACAAUGUGAUGCUGUAAUUCAGAAGUGUACCCUUAUCGCAAAAUGAUGUCGUUAAGUCCUAAUGUUGAUUUCAAUUCUAGCUAACUAUCCAGAAAUUGUUUUGCAGCUUCUUAUGGAUUCAUUGUCAAAAUGAAGUUGUGGGGUACAGAUUUCUUAUCAUGCUUUAUGCUCACUUUUCUUCAUUAUUAAUAGACCUCCUGACCUAUGACAGCCUGGUUUAAAGAUUAGAGUCCCUAGCACCUUCUGCAUGUGACUAGAUGCUGGCCAGUAUAAUAUAUGUUGAAUUGUGCAAUGUAACUUCUGAGAUUUGUCUUUAAAUAUAAAUUAUAUGUCCUUCAUUAUUUGUUGUUCAAUUUUUCUGUUGGAUAGAUAUGACAUUAUUGAUGUAACUUGAAGAACAUUUUGAAUAUGUAAUAAGACAUGGAUAGCACGGAAGACAUUAUGAGUUGAAAUUUUUGAUGAAUUAUUUUAACUACUCUUUUUUAACUCCAGAAUUCUUUCCUUUGGAAAAUAAACCUUUAUAUCAUUAAGCCACUUGUAUGUUUUUGUGUGUCUUAUUAUGAGAUCUAAUUCUAACUGAUGUGCACUUCUUUUCAGGAUGCCAGCAGACAUCCACAGUUGAAUAUUCACGUGAAAAAGAAGGUUUAACAUCCUGACUUGCAUAUUUAGCUCUUUCUACUCAUCUAGUGCUUCAGUCCCACUGGACUCUCAUUUUUUUCCUGGUCUAUCAGUUUCUUCUGACUUCAGUUCCCAUUCUUUCCUACUUAAAUAGGAAUUAUUAAUAACUUCAAUAUUCCCUUACUAAUAGAUGAAAACCCUGCCCUCAUUGUCCUUCCCUGACAUCUUCUUAGCAAGACCCCCAAAAUGGAUGAUUCUAUCUAUUGCUCAUACUAGCAGCUUAGCAUGGUAUAAAAAUUCAUACAAAUGAGCACAGUGGUACCUUAUAUACUUACUGUACCUUUUUUUUUUUAAAAAAAGAUUUAUUUAUUUUAUUUUAAGGCAAAGUUACAGAGAAGAGGAUGCAGAAAGAGAGAGAAAAGUCUUCCACUCACUGGUUCACCUCACAGGUAGAUGCAAUGGUCAGAGCUUUGCCAAUCUGAAGCCAGGAGCCAGGGGCUUCCUACAGGUCUCCCAUGCAGGUGCAGUGGCCCAAGGAUAUAGUAUUCUGUAGAGUACAAAGGGAGAAAGAGAAAGAGAGAGAGAUAUCUUCCAGUCAUUGGUUCUCUCUCCAAAUGGUCCUAACUGCUGGGGCUGGGCCAGGCUAAAAACAGGACCAGGAGCCAGGAGCUUAAUUCAGGUCUCCCACAUAGAUGCAGUGGCCUAGGCAUUUUGACCAUCCUCUGCAGUUUUGCCAGGUGCAUUAGCAGGGAGUCAGAUUGGAAGUGGAAUUAGUAUUUCAGGUUCUUUUUCUGCUGUACCAUAUUUUUGACGUAAUUUUUCUCUAAAUACAUUAUUUUUCUCAUAUAUUUCCUUCCAGUUACUUUCAUGUAUCCAUAACUAAAUCUGAAGCAAAUAUAAUACAAAGACAUAUUUUAAAAUAUCUAUUUUUUUAAAAAAAGAUUUAUUUUUUUAUUUGAAAGUCAGAGUUGCACAUAGAGAGAAGGAGAGGCAGAGAGAGAGAGAGAGAGGUCUUCCAUCCUCUGGUUCACUCUCCAGUUGUCUACAAUGGCUGAAGCCAGGAGCCAGGAGCUUCUUCCAGGUCUCCCACAUGGGUGCAGGGACCCAAGGAUUUGGGCCAUCUUUUACUGCUUCCUCAGGCCAUAGAAGAGAGCUGCAAUGGAAGUAGAGCAGCUGAGACUCAAACCAGUGGCCAUAUGGGAUGCUGGCACUGCAAGUGGUGGCUUUACCCACUAUGCCAGUGCGGCCUCAAAAUAUAUUUCUUUUAAUGGUUGCUCUCCUGAUUGUUUUCUGAAGGUUGCUCUCUUGAUAGUGUAAAGUUUAUCAUCUUAAGGUGAUCUUUCCCUAAGUCACUUUAUUCAGUAAAGAAAUUGUACUAUUCUUUUGACCUAAAAGGGCAUUUUAAAAUUUCAUUUCUUAUGUCAGAGUGGUCUAGAAAAGUAGUUGGCAUACUUUUUCUUCCAAUGAGCCAGAUCAUAACUUUUGUGACCAUGUGAUUUUAAUUAUUAUUAUUGUUUUUGAGUGUGAAGUAGUUUAUUUGGGACACAAUCCAGGAAAGAGUGGCUGGGACAUAAGGAAUGAAAUAUGAAAGAAAGAUAUCACAGCUACCACUGUGGGGGACUAGCACAUCAUGUGACUGAGAAAUGUUGGAAAUAUAGAACAGGCAAUUCAGAUAUCCCACCCCCCACAAAAAGUUGUUGGCUAAGGCCUGACUAGAAACACUCAUUCAGUAACACUUUUAGCCUACCUUGGGUAUAAACAAAGGGCUUCAGGUAUCUAAGAAAACAUUUCUGCAAAAAAAAAAAAAACAAAAAAAAACACAUCUGUUGAUGGUUAGAAAGAAGACAGGAAAUGAACUACAAAAAGAGGUUUCAGAGUUGGUUGACUGUAUGGUCUCUGUUUACCUUUGAAGCAUAAGAGUAGUAAUACGAAAUAUGUGAAUGAUUUUGUAUGGCUCUGUUCCAACAAAAUUGUUUUUAAAAAAACAAAUGGUAAGAUUGUUUGGCUCUUAUGCCAUAGAUUGUUGAUUUCAUUUCUUAAAGAAGCCUUUUUUUUUGUUUUUUGUGAAUCAGUUGUCCAUUUAUUUUCCUCUGAUGAAGUAUACAUUGUGCUUUUCCAAGAGAAAGUAGAAGACACAAAAACUGAGUUCACAGUAGUAAUAACAUUAAAACAACCCUAAAUGUGUGUAGAAAUUUCAUUGGAUUGUCAAUUUGUGGGGUAAAAAAAUGGUAUGCCUGCACACUUUGUAUUUGAAA